rnacentral:tRNA from 2 species
GGUGCCGUGGCCGAGUGACAGGCAGCGCUCUCAUAAGGCGCCAUACGCAGGUUCGUUACCUGCCGGCACCA